CCAGUAUACUUAUUCUUAAACUUUAAGANUAGAUUAUUAGUAGAUAUGUUCUUGAAAUUCAAAGAAUUUGGCGGUAUCUUAAUCUUAUUAGAGGAACCUGUUCUAUAAACGAUAAACCACGAAAAAUCUUAUUUGUUUUAAGUAGUUUGUAUACCGUCAUUAUUAGAUAAUUUUAGGAGAAUUAAUUAUUGUAAUUAAAGCUAAUAGUUUUAAGGAUAUUAGAUCAAGGUGCAGCUUAUAGACAAGAAAGGAAUGGGUUACAAUAAAUUAAUUUAGAUGGAGGUUACUCUUUAAUGAGUUUCUGAAGGCGGAUUUAAUUGUAUGUUUAGAUUUAAUACGAUAAAUAGAAAUUGGCUCUAAGAUAUGUACAUAUCGCCCGUCGCU
rnacentral:rRNA from 1 species